AAAUGGGGAAUGUGUCAAAGAGACAACAACCCGACCAAAAAAAAAAAAAAAACCACAACAGCAGAAGGUCACCAACAGGUCUUCAAUGUAGCGAGAAAUUCCCGCACCCGGAGGCGUCCUUCAACUGGCCCCUAAACAAAUAUAUACUAGUUCAGUGAUAAUGAACGCCAUACUAAUUUCCAAAUUGUACACAAGAAACUAAAAUUAAAAUAAUACAAGACUAACAAAGGCCAGAGGCUCCUGACUUGGGACAGGCGCAAAAA
rnacentral:lncRNA from 1 species